rnacentral:tRNA from 1 species
GAGGGUAUAGCUCAGUGGUAGAGUACAUGCUUAGCAUGCAUGAGGUCCUGGGUUCAAUCCCCAGUACCUCCU